rnacentral:rRNA from 1 species
UCAAAAACAUGUCUUUUUGAUAAUAAUUUAAAGUCUAAUCUGCCCACUGAUAUAAUUAUUAAAGGGCUGCAGUAUAUUGACUGUACAAAGGUAGCAUAAUCAUUAGUCUUUUAAUUGAAGACUUGUAUGAAAGAUUUGAUGAGAUAUAAACUGUCUCUAUUUUAAGGAUAAAAUUUAAUUUUUUAGUUAAAAAGCUAAAAUAUUGUUAAAAGACGAGAAGACCCUAUAAAGUUUUAUAAUUUGUUUAUUUAAUAUUAAAUAUAUAAUUAAAUAUAAUAAUUAAUUAAAUUAUUUUAUUGGGGUGAUAGAAAAAUUUAAUAAACUUUUUUUAAAAACAUAAACAACAUAUAUAAGUGAAAAAAUGAUCCAUUAUUAAUGAUUAAAAGAAAAAAUUACUUUAGGGAUAACAGCGUAAUAUUUUUUUUUAGUACAAAUAAAAAGAAAAGUUUGCGACCUCGAUGUUGGAUUAAGAUAAAAUUUAGAUGCAAAAGUUUAAAAUUUUGAUCUGUUCGAUCAUUAAAAUCUUACAUGAUCUGAGCU